GAUUAGCUAGUAGGUGAGGUAAUGGCUCACCUAGGCGACGAUCAGUAACUGGUCUGAGAGGAUGACCAGUCACACUGGGACUGAGACACGGCCCAGACUCCUACGGGAGGCAGCAGUGGGGAAUUUUCCGCAAUGGGCGCAAGCCUGACGGAGCAAUACCGCGUGAGGGAGGACGGCUCUUGGGUUGUAAACCUCUUUUCUCUGGGAAGAACACAAUGACGGUACCAGAGGAAUCAGCAUCGGCUAACUCCGUGCCAGCAGCCGCGGUAAUACGGAGGAUGCAAGCGUUAUCCGGAAUUAUUGGGCGUAAAGCGUCCGUAGGUGGUUUUGAAAGUCUAUUGUCAAAGCGCGGGGCUUAACCUCGUAAGGGCAGUAGAAACUAUGAGACUAGAGUUCGGUAGGGGUCAGGGGAAUUCCCAGUGUAGCGGUGAAAUGCGUAGAUAUUGGGAAGAACACCAGCGG
rnacentral:rRNA from 1 species